UGAGGAAUAUUGGUCAAUGGAGGAAACUCUGAACCAGCCAAGUCGCGUGAAGGAUGACGGUCCUAUGGAUUGUAAACUUCUUUAGUAGGCGAGUAAGGAUAGGUACGUGUACCUAUUAGAAAGUAGCCUAAGAAUAAGUAUCGGCUAACUCCGUGCCAGCAGCCGCGGUAAUACGGAGGAUACGAGCGUUAUCCGGAUUUAUUGGGUUUAAAGGGUGCGAAGGUGGCUGAUUAAGUCAGUGGUGAAAAGCUAUGGCUCAACCAUAGUCUUGCCGUUGAUACUGGUUAGCUUGAGUGUAGAUGAUGUAGGCGGAACGUGUAGUGUAGCGGUGAAAUGCAUAGAUAUUACGCAGAACUCCGAUUGCGAAGGCAGCUUACAAAACUACUACUGACACUGAGGCACGAAAGCGUGGGUAUCAAACAGG
rnacentral:rRNA from 1 species